UGUAAAUAAAAUAUGGAAAUUCAUAAGUUAUGCCUUAUGAAACACCAAAAGUUCAUUUCAUAAUCGUUUCAUAAGGUCCCUAUGAAAUUCAUAAUCAGUAGUAUAAAUUACAUACAUGUGCCUUAUGAAUAAAAAUGUCUUUCCUUAUGAAUAGAAAUCAUAAGGUAAUCUUAUGUUAUUUCAUGUGUUCAUUCCUGGUUCACUGCGAGGAAAAUGUCAACGUCAUUGUUUUCUUUUUGCAACACGGUUGACCACAUGUUUUAUAAUUUAGCUUAUUCACAAAAAAACUAAUGCAGUGCCCAGGUUCCGGAUGAUCUUCUGUUAUCACAUGGAGCAGAUCCGGUGUUUUCUGGUCCUUCCAGCUGAUCCAAUGGAUGCGGCAAAGGCUCAAUGUUAGGGGCCAUAGAUGAGAAGCUGCUGUACUGUUGCUGUCUGUCCCAUUAAAUUUCGUUAUAACGUUAUAGCGGUAUACCGACGCCGAUAACAUCUUGGAUAACAUAUGUUAUGCACAAUGUCAGCUUACUCGGCACCAAGUUAGCCCACAAACCAGCUUACUAUUUAUCCUGCCACACUAAAAUUGCUCUGAAAAAUGUCAUCGGUAGCAUCAACAAAGUAUGAGUUUCCUGAAACGGAUAUGUGUCCCCUAGACUGUGAAUCCACAAGAAAAUGACAUGUUGGAUGCAGUAAUGCUAGUUGCAAGCAGCCAUGGACCAAGUUCGGUAUGUUUGUUGCAAGGCUAUAUCACUCGGGAACAAGAAAACAACCCAGAAAUGGAGAAGAUCAUCGUAAGAUUUUGCCCUGAAAAAAUAAAUCCCGCGAUGGGUGGAGAAAAUCAUUUAAAGAUCAACUCAGAUCGGUCGAAGUUUCAUUGACGUCAAAGGAUACAAGGAUCGGUUCUUUAGAUAUCUUGUCUCAGCACCCCUGUUCAGGAGAGGGUUCUUUUACUGAUGCUGCGUUGCUGCAUUGCGGCCAAAUUGAAGUCAAUCUCACGUGAACGGGCCAGUAUGAAUCUUGAACAUCGUAUUAGCGAGGAAAACCGGGUCUCUCGAAAGCGAGUUCGAAAGGUUCUGAUGCAGGCAUGGUCCCCAGCAAAAGGUUCCGAUGCAGGCAUGGUGCCGAGCAAGGUGCAAUCUCAAAACCUUUCUGUGGUGACGUGAAUAGUAUAAUGAACGACUGCGACUGAGCCAACGUUAUAAAGUCUCACGAAUCUCGACUGCUGAGAAUAUAAUAUGAUAUACGAGAUGUUGCGGUUGGUUAGCUCCCGGAAAUAAUUAGGCCUACACUACGAACCGACUUAAGCCAGGGCCGGAUUUAGCGAGAAGGGAGCCCCGGGGCCGACAGUAUGUGGGGGCCCAAAAUGUACAAAAAAGGUUGGUUUUGGUGCAUAAUAUUUGUGGGGGCCCGGGGCCACGCCCCCCCCCCCUCCCUCUAAAUCCGGCCCUGACUUAAGCAUUUAUCUUGGAAUACAUAUGUAGAUCGUCAGAGUGAACUAUGAGCCGUUUUGCAAUGCAAGUACGGAGCGAAGUUUAGUAUUGUCGUAGCAAGCACAUUAGUAUACGACCAGGUCAGAAAGUUUCUUUCCAUAAACGUAAAAUUAUAAUGUGGAUUAAAGCGGAGGUAGAGUUAAAUCAUGCAACAAUUUUCUUAGGAGAUACAGCCUUCAGUAAACGGCAGAUAAACAUACGACGGUCAUCGUUGCCGGCCCUUAGCAUUAUCACCAUCAGUCGCUUCGCGAUGAGCGCAACAGUUCGGUCAUCUUUAUUAUCAGCACCGAGUGUAGCAUCAGCAUGCCAAAACUGUAUUGGCAUUGUAGUGCCCAAGAACCAUCUUUUUAGCAAAAUUAAGUUUUUAUUAAGUCCGAAAAUGCAAAUAAUUUAAAAAAAUGAUGUUAUCAAAAAUUAAAUUGUAUAAAGGACCUAACUAUCUGUAUUUUCAAAAUAAUAUUUGAUGAUAAUAAAUCGAAGGAAGUAAAUAUAA